rfam:Stegodyphus mimosarum contig77067, whole genome shotgun sequence.
AAAAUGGUUCUUUUCAGAGCCACACAUUCCCUGCAAUGAGUUGUGU